rnacentral:lncRNA from 1 species
UGUAGAACUUUUUGCAAAACUGAUAAAAGCAACCAGUCAACAAGAAUGUACUAAACCUCCUUCAGCAUUGACUACUUAGUCAAAGGCUGGGGAGGUUUGGGGAGGGCGACGCCGCCCAGCUUGCGGCCACUCACGUCUCUGCACUGCUGGGUGUCCGCGGCCAGGACGCUGGCGACCGUCUUGGUGACGGCGACUUUGGCAGGCUUGGAGCAGGCGCCGAUGAGGGGCGGCUCGCGCCAGCGCGUAGAGCGCCCGCAGAGCUGGGAAAAUCGGUCCGAGAGGCCUGAUCUGAGAGGACCACAGUUGAAACUUCAUCUUUCUCUGAAACCAUCACGCCUUAGCCAAUCCUAACGAAAACGUAUAAGCUUUGUUGCCGAAAUUUAUAAAGUGCUUGACGCUUCUGGGCCAGUCAUUGAGCUAAGCACUGGGCAGGACACAGCGAACAGAGUUGGAGGGAAUCAUUGCUGUGAGAAGCUGACAGUGGUGGAUGACAAGCUUGAAUUUCCAGAGGAAAUAGCAUGUCUGUGAAACUCACCCAUGCCAUCUGGAAAGGAAAAAGUUAAGUUGCAUUUCUGCAAUACAUUCUCUCCCUUCCCUGAGCUGCUCCUGGAAUAUAAAGAAAGCAGGGAAAUAUUUACUGGGCCUUCAGCUUUCUGUACUACUUCGGAACAGCACUAGCAUCUAUCUCAGGGUUUAAAAUAUGGAAGUUCUUGCCUUCCUUGAAUCUUUUCUCCCAGAAAUAACAUAUUGGCUCUCUUCCCUGUGACAUGCCUCAUCUGACAUUGGCUGGCUUUCAUAUAAAACCUUUGUUUUAGCCUACUAUCAAUUCAACUUUUACAUUGACAAAACGUAAUUUUUGGUUGUCAAUGUAAAAGUUGACAUUUUUACAUUCAACUUUAAUUUAAAUGCUGAAUUUAAAUUUAAAUGCUGAAAAUUUAUUUAAACACUUAAAAUGAUAUUAGAAGAGGUAUUUUAUGUUUUUAAACAGAGAUAUAUUUCAUUUUUAUAUGCAGUCAACAGAUCACAUGUGUAUGUCUCUUAUGUGUUCCUGUGUGGGAAUAGCUUGAAUUACUACAUAAGUUCUCUGAGAAUAUUAAGUUCAUUUAGGGGAACAGGACAUAUCUAUAUGAAAAACAGAAAUAAUACUACAAACAAAAGAGAGAUCACGAGAUAACAUGUAAUUAAUUCUCAGUGAAUGACAUGUCAUGAAAUCAUCAGAAGAGAUGAGGAUAUGGGAAAAGCUUUAUGAAAGUAGUCAGAACCAUAAGGAAGAUUCGGUUUUGUUAAACAGAAAGACCUUUUUCCAUUGUGGUAUUAAGUUUAAUAUGAUUUUCAUUGUAUUAAAAUACUAAUGCAGUAAGUUGAAAAUAUAAUUGCAUUCUUUUCAUUUAAUCUAUUGUAAAAUAUAUAAUCAAAAUGAUAUACUUGUAAAAUAAUUACAUAUAUAAUAAAAUCAAUAUACCUGUAAAAGA